rnacentral:rRNA from 1 species
UACGUAGGGUGCAGGCGUUAAUCGGAAUUACUGGGCGUAAAGCGUGCGCAGGCGGUUUGCUAAGGCAGGUGUGAAAUCCCCGGGCUUAACCUGGGAACUGCGCUUGUUACUGGCAGGCUUGAGUGUGGCAGAGGGGGGUGGAAUUCCACGUGUAGCAGUGAAAUGCGUAGAGAUGUGGAGGAACACCGAUGGCGAAGGCAGCCCCCUGGGCUAACACUGACGCUCAUGCACGAAGCGUGGGGAGCAAACAGG